rnacentral:tRNA from 1 species
CUUAAAAAAGUAACCCAAACGCUUUAAGUUGCCUAGCUUUAAGCGGCAAAGUGUAAGAGGUCUAGGUAGGCUGCACG